AUUUGAUUUUUUAUAUUUUUCAAGGAAUUUUUAUAGUAUAUUAUAUUGCACUAUGUUUUUUUUUUGUAUGGUGAAAACUGUUCAAUUUACAAACUAUAUUUUAGUUUAUCAAAAUAUAUUUUUAUUGAUGUGUUUUGCCUCUGAUUCUUUCUUUUUCAGAUGUGCACUUGUGUCUUAGGUUUAUGCUUUGCAAAAGGUUCACCAUCGCCCUUAAGUUGCUGUGGGUUUUACGGUUUUACUUCCAACCUGGCAUAUAAAUGCACUUAGUAUCUGAAGUUAUUUGUCAAUAACUGGUGAUCAGACUUUCAAACGAACACGUUUUUAAGGGCUGAGAAGGUGAAAGUCAGAAGUCUGCAGACUGUAACGUAAAUCAAUUUUCAACACAUGGUUUUCUGAAUAUAUUUAGUUUUCGAUUGAAAUGAGAAUAAACUGAACUUAUAGAUAUGUUGAAAAUUAACUAUUUUAUAUUUUAAACGUUCGCUAAACGCAAGUGAAGCAAUAAUCUAUAGAUGCAAAUAUACUUUAUAUUUUGUUUUAGUUUAAAAAAAAAUAUUGUUACUUUUAUAUUCAUGUUGUAAUUGUAAAUUGCAAUCUUAAAAUGAUUUUUAUUAUAA